rnacentral:rRNA from 1 species
UACGUAGGGUGCGAGCGUUGUCCGGAAUUAUUGGGCGUAAAGAGCUCGUAGGCGGUUUGUUGCGUCGGCUGUGAAAUCCCGAGGCUCAACCUCGGGUCUGCAGUCGAUACGAGCAAACUAGAGUGUUGCAGGGGAGACUGGAAUUCCUGGUGUAGCGGUGAAAUGCGCAGAUAUCAGGAGGAACACCGGUGGCGAAGGCGGGUCUCUGGGCAACAACUGACGCUGAGGCGCGACAGCGUGGGGAGCAAACAGG